UUGCUUUAGGGAUGAACGAGUCCCUCACAUUGAUCUUCGUCCAUCUGCUUCACUUUGUCAGCAAGUCGUGUUCUUUCAGCCAGCUGCUGAUCAUUCUAGGAUGGAAAAUCU
rnacentral:snoRNA from 1 species